UAGGGAAUCUUCCGCAAUGGGCGAAAGCUUGACGGAGCAACGCCGCGUGAGUGAUGAAGGUCUUCGGAUCGUAAAACUCUGUUAUUAGGGAAGAACAAAUGUGUAAGUAACUAUGCACGUCUUGACGGUACCUAAUCAGAAAGCCACGGCUAACUACGUGCCAGCAGCCGCGGUAAUACGUAGGUGGCAAGCGUUAUCCGGAAUUAUUGGGCGUAAAGCGCGCGUAGGCGGUUUUUUAAGUCUGAUGUGAAAGCCCACGGCUCAACCGUGGAGGGUCAUUGGAAACUGGAAAACUUGAGUGCAGAAGAGGAAAGUGGAAUUCCAUGUGUAGCGGUGAAAUGCGCAGAGAUAUGGAGGAACACCAGUGGCGAAGGCGACUUUCUGGUCUGUAACUGACGCUGAUGUGCGAAAGCGUGGGGAUCAAACAGU
rnacentral:rRNA from 1 species